GGGGAUAUUGCUCAGUGGUACAGCGCCCGCUUGGCAAGUGUGAAGUCAUGAGUUUAAUUCUUGGUACCCCCC
rnacentral:tRNA from 1 species